GCAGGUGUAGUUCAAUGGUAGAACCUCAGCCUUCCAAGCUGACUAUGAGGGUUCGAUUCCCUUCACCUGCUCCA
rnacentral:tRNA from 2 species